rnacentral:rRNA from 1 species
UUGCCUCAGUAACGGCGAGUGAAGCGGCAAUAGCUCAAAUUUGAAAUCUGGUCCUUUCAGGUCCCGAAUUGUAAUUUGUAGAGGAUGUUUCGGCUCACGCCCCGGUCUAAGUUCCUUGGAACAGGACGUCACAGAGGGUGAGAACCCCGUUUGUGGCCGGCGGCUUCCGCCAUGUGAAACUCCUUCGACGAGUCGAGUUGUUUGGGAAUGCAGCUCUAAAUGGGAGGUAAAUUUCUUCUAAAGCUAAAUACCGGCCAGAGACCGAUAGCGCACAAGUAGAGUGAUCGAAAGAUGAAAAGCACUUUGGAAAGAGAGUUAAAAAGUACGUGAAAUUGUUGAAAGGGAAGCGCUUGCGACCAGACUUGCCCGCGGAUGCUCAGCCGGUCCUUCGGCCGGUGUACUCUUCCGCGGUCAGGCCAGCAUCAGUUCGGGCGGUCGGAUAAAGGCCUUGGGAAUGUAGCUCACUUCGGUGAGUGUUAUAGCCCUCGGUACAAUACGGCCCGCCUGGACUGAGGAACGCGCUUCGGCCAGGAUGCUGGCGUAAUGGUCGUAAGCGGCCCGUCUUGAAACACGGACCAAGGAGUCUAACAUCUAUGCGAGUGUUUGGGUGUCAAACCCGUGCGCGAAAUGAAAGUGAACGGAGGUGGGAGCCCUCGGGUGCACCAUCGACCGAUCCUGAUGUCUUCGGAUGGAUUUGAGUAAGAGCAUAGCUGUUGGGACCCGAAAGAUGGUGAACUAUGCCUGAAUAGGGUGAAGCCAGAGGAAACUCUGGUGGAGGCUCGCAGCGGUUCUGACGUGCAAAUCGAUCGUCAAAUUUGGGUAUAGGGGCGAAAGACUAAUCGAACCAUCUAGUAG